rnacentral:rRNA from 1 species
CCAAGGGCAUGCUCAGUAGCGGCGAGUGAGCGGCAAAAGCUCAAAUUUGAAAUCUGGCGCCUUCGGUGUCCGAGUUGUAAUUUGAAGACUGUAUCCUUGGGGGCGGCUCUUGUCUAUUUUUCUGGAAACAGGACUUCCCAAAGGUGGAAAAUCCCUGGCAAUGAGAUGCCCAAUUCUGUGUAUGGUGGUCUCCAAGACUCGAUUUGUUUGAAAGCGCCUCUCUAUGUGUGUGGAACUCUCCCUCUAACUCUAAAUAGUGGCGAGAGACCUAUCGCAAACAUAUACUGAGAGGGAAAUAAGAAAAAAAUUUUGAAAAGAGUGUGAAAAUAUACGUGAAUGUGUUGAAGGGGAGGGGUGUGAUAUCACACGCCUUCUUUUGUGACCCUUGCCUUCGGGGCGGGGUGACCCGGGCCUUACCGUGUGGCCUGCCUUUUGGGCGGUGUUAAUAAUGGCGUAGGAAUGUGAACUUACUUCUGUGAACCGUUAUUUCCUGCGGAUAUGCUGCCUGCGUUCACCGACCACUGCUAUUUUAACACGGACCAUGGCAUAAUGAUCCCAAACCGCCCGUCUUGAAGCACGGACCAGA